rnacentral:rRNA from 1 species
GACCUCAAAUCAGGUAGGACUACCCGCUGAACUUAAGCAUAUCAAUAAGCGGAGGAAAAGAAACUAACAAGGAUUCCCCUAGUAACUGCGAGUGAAGCGGGAAAAGCUCAAAUUUGAAAUCUGGCGGUUCUUGACCGUCCGAGUUGUAAUCUAGAGAAGUGUUACCUGUGCUGGACCGUGUAAAAGUCUCCUGGAAUGGAGCAUCAUAGAGGGUGAGAAUCCCGUCUUUGACAUGGACUACCUGUACACUGUGGUGCGCUCUCAAAGAGUCGAGUUGUUUGGGAAUGCAGCUCAAAAUGGGUGGUAAAUGCCAUCUAAAGCUAAAUAUUGGCGAGAGACCGAUAGCGAACAAGUACCGUGAGGGAAAGAUGAAAAGAACUUUGGAAAGAGAGUUAAACAGUACGUGAAAUUGCUGAAAGGGAAACGCUUGAAGUCAGUCGCGUUGGCUAGAAAUCAGCCGUUGCUCUUGCUCGGUGUACUUUCUGGUCGACGGGUCAGCAUCAAUUUUGACCAUUGGAUAAAGUCUUUGGGAAUGUGGCAUCUUAGGAUGUGUUAUAGCCCAUUGUCGCAUACGGUGGUUGGGAUUGAGGAGCUCAGCACGCCCGCAAGGGACGGGUUUUUCUACCACGUUCGUGCUUAGGAUGCUGGCAUAAUGGCUUUAAUCGACCCGUC